rnacentral:rRNA from 1 species
CCAGCACCCCGAGUUGUCGGGACGAUUAUUGGGCCUAAAGCAUCCGUAGCCUGUUCUGCAAGUCCUCCGUUAAAUCCACCUGCUCAACGGGUGGGCUGCGGAGGAUACCGCAGAGCUAGGAGGCGGGAGAGGCAAACGGUACUCAGUAGGUAGGGGUAAAAUCCAUUGAUCUACUGAAGACCACCAGUGGCGAAGGCGGUUUGCCAGAACGCGCUCGACGGUGAGGGAUGAAAGCUGGGGGAGCAAACCGGAUUAGAUACCCGGGUAGUCCCAGCUGUAAACGAUGCAGACUCGGUGAUGGGUUGGCCUUGAGCCAACCCAGUGCCGCAGGGAAGCCGUUAAGUCUGCCGCCUGGGGAGUACGGUCGCAAGACUG